CCUACGGGAGACAGCAGUGAGGAAUAUUGGUCAAUGGACGAGAGUCUGAACCAGCCAAGUAGCGUGCAGGAUGACUGCCCUAUGGGUUGUAAACUGCUUUUAUAUGGGAAUAAAAUGUUCCACGUGUGGGAUGUUGUAUGUACCAUAUGAAUAAGGAGAGGCUAACUCCGUGCCAGCAGCCGCGGUAAUACGGCGGAUCCGAGCGUUAUCCGGAUUUAUUGGGUUUAAAGGGAGCGUAGGUGGAUUGUUAAGUCAGUUGUGAAAGUUUGCGGCUCAACCGUAAAAUUGCAGUUGAAACUGGCAGUCUUGAGUACAGUAGAGGUGGGCGGAAUUCGUGGUGUAGCGGUGAAAUGCUUAGAUAUCACGCAGAACUCCGAUUGCGAAGGCAGCAUACCGGCGCUCAACUGACGCUCAUGCACGAAAGUGUGGGUAUCGAACAGGAUUAGAUACCCUGGUAGUC
rnacentral:rRNA from 1 species